AGUGAACGCUGGCGGUAGGCCUAACACAUGCAAGUCGAACGGCAGCACAGUAAGAGCUUGCUCUUACGGGUGGCGAGUGGCGGACGGGUGAGGAAUACAUCGGAAUCUACUUUUUCGUGGGGGAUAACGUAGGGAAACUUACGCUAAUACCGCAUACGACCUACGGGUGAAAGCAGAGGAUCUUCGGACCUUGCGCGAUUGAAUGAGCCGAUGUCGGAUUAGCUAGUUGGCGGGGUAAAGGCCCACCAAGGCGACGAUCCGUAGCUGGUCUGAGAGGAUGAUCAGCCACACUGGAACUGAGACACGGUCCAGACUCCUACGGGAGGCAGCAGUGGGGAAUAUUGGACAAUGGGCGCAAGCCUGAUCCAGCUAUACCGCGUGGGUGAAGAAGGCCUUCGGGUUGUAAAGCCCUUUUGUUGGGAAAGAAAAGCAGCAGGUUAAUACCCCGCUGUUCUGACGGUACCCAAAGAAUAAGCACCGGCUAACUUCGUG
rnacentral:rRNA from 1 species